AAGAUGGCGACCGGCGCACGGGUGAGUAACACGUAUCCAACCUGCCGAUAACUCCGGAAUAGCCUUUCGAAAGAAAGAUUAAUACCGGAUGGCAUACGAAUAUCGCAUGAUAUUUUUAUUAAAGAAUUUCGGUUAUCGAUGGGGAUGCGUUCCAUUAGUUUGUUGGCGGGGUAACGGCCCACCAAGACUACGAUGGAUAGGGGUUCUGAGAGGAAGGUCCCCCACAUUGGAGCUGAGACACGGUCCAA
rnacentral:rRNA from 1 species